GAUGAAGAACGCAGCGAAAUGCGAUACGUAAUGUGAUUUGCAGAAUUCAGUGAAUCAUCGAGUCUUUGAACGCACAUUGCGCCCCCUGGUAUUCCGGGGGGCAUGCCUGUCCGAGCGUCAUUGCUGCCCUCAAGCACGGCUUGUGUGUUGGGCCUCCGUCCUCCUCCCGGGGGACGGGCCCGAAAGGCAGCGGCGGCACCGCGUCCGGUCCUCGAGCGUAUGGGGCUUCGUCACCCGCUCUUGUAGGCCCGGCCGGCGCUUGCCGACACAUCAAUCUUUUUUCCAGGUUGACCUCGGAUCAGGUAGGGAUACCCGCUGAACUUAAGCAUAUCAAUAAGCGGAGGA
rnacentral:misc_RNA from 1 species